UAGGAAGCAAAUAAGGGCGCAUGGGGGAUGCCUAGGCUCUCAGAGACGACGAAGGACGUGGUAAGCUGCGAAAAGCUACGGGGAACUGCAAACGAGUGUUGAUCCGUAGAUGUCCGAAUGGGGAAACCCACUAUGUUGAAGACAUAGUAUCUCGCAAGAGAUGGUAACCCGGGGAACUGAAACAUCUAAGUACCCGGAGGAGGAGAAAAUAAUUAAUGAUUCCGCAAGUAGUGGCGAGCGAACGCGGAUUAGCCCAAACCGAAGUGGUUGUUACCGCUUCGGGGUUGUAGGACUUGCAAAAAGUAUUAAAAACGAAGUAGAAUAUGUUUGGAAAACAUAACCGAAGAGGGUGAGAGUCCCGUACACGUAAGGUUUUAAUAUGGGCGAGUAUCCUGAGUAAGGCGGGACCGGAGAAAUC
rnacentral:rRNA from 1 species